GAAGUCGGAAUCCGCUAAGGACUGUGU
rnacentral:ncRNA from 4 species